rnacentral:rRNA from 1 species
UUAAGCGACUAAGCGUACACGGUGGAUGCCCUGGCAGUCAGAGGCGAUGAAGGACGUGCUAAUCUGCGAAAAGCGUCGGUAAGGUGAUAUGAACCGUUAUAGCCGGCGAUGUCCGAAUGGGGAAACCCAGUGCAAUUCGUUGCACUAUCGUUAACUGAAUACAUAGGUUAACGAGGCGAACCGGGGGAACUGAAACAUCUAAGUACCCCGAGGAAAAGAAAUCAACCGAGAUUCCCCCAGUAGCGGCGAGCGAACGGGGAGCAGCCCAGAGUCUGAAUCAGCUUGUGUGUUAGUGGAACGGUCUGGAAAGUCCGACGGUACAGGGUGAUAGUCCCGUACACCAAAAUGCACAGGUUGUGAACUCGAAGAGUAGGGCGGGACACGUGGUAUCCUGUCUGAAUAUGGGGGGACCAUCCUCCAAGGCUAAAUACUCCUGACUGACCGAUAGUGAACCAGUACCGUGAGGGAAAGGCGAAAAGAACCCCGGCGAGGGGAGUGAAAAAGAACCUGAAACCGUGUACGUACAAGCAGUGGGAGCACCUUUAUGGUGUGACUGCGUACCUUUUGUAUAAUGGGUCAGCGACUUAUAUUCUGUAGCAAGGUUAACCGUAUAGGGGAGCCGCAGGGAAACCGAGUCUUAACUGGGCGUUAAGUUGCAGGGUAUAGACCCGAAACCCGGUGAUCUAGCCAUGGGCAGGUUGAAGGUUGGGUAACACUAACUGGAGGACCGAACCGACUAAUGUUGAAAAAUUAGCGGAUGACUUGUGGCUGGGGGUGAAAGGCCAAUCAAACCGGGAGAUAGCUGGUUCUCCCCGAAAGCUAUUUAGGUAGCGCCUCGUGAACUCAUCGUUAAUAUUCCUGUACUUGGUGUUACUGCGAAGGGGGGACGGAGAAGGCUAUGUUAGCCGGGCGACGUACCGAAGAAUGUUAUCACGGGAGACACACGGCGGGUGCUAACGUCCGUCGUGAAGAGGGAAACAACCCAGACCGCCAGCUAAGGUCCCAAAGUCAUGGUUAAGUGGGAAACGAUGUGGGAAGGCACAGACAGCCAGGAUGUUGGCUUAGAAGCAGCCAUCAUUUAAAGAAAGCGUAAUAGCUCACUGGUCGAGUCGGCCUGCGCGGAAGAUGUAACGGGGCUAAACCAUGCACCGAAGCUGCGGCAGCGACGCUUAGGCGUUGUUGGGUAGGGGAGCGUUCUGUAAGCCUGCGAAGGUGACCUGUGAGGGUUGCUGGAGGUAUCAGAAGUGCGAAUGCUGACAUAAGUAACGAUAAAGCGGGUGAAAAGCCCGCUCGCCGGAAGACCAAGGGUUCCUGUCCAACGUUAAUCGGGGCAGGGUGAGUCGACCCCUAAGGCGAGGCCGAAAGGCGUAGUCGAUGGGAAACAGGUUAAUAUUCCUGUACUUGGUGUUACUGCGAAGGGGGGACGGAGAAGGCUAUGUUAGCCGGGCGACGGUUGUCCCGGUUUAAGCAUGUAGGCUGGUUAUCCAGGCAAAUCCGGAUAAUCAAGGCUGAGGUGUGAUGACGAGGUACUACGGUACUGAAGUAACAAAUGCCCUGCUUCCAGGAAAAGCCUCUAAGCAUCAGGUAACAUCAAAUCGUACCCCAAACCGACACAGGUGGUCAGGUAGAGAAUACCAAGGCGCUUGAGAGAACUCGGGUGAAGGAACUAGGCAAAAUGGUGCCGUAACUUCGGGAGAAGGCACGCUGGUGUGUAGGUGAAGUCCCUGCGGAUGGAGCUGAGACCAGUCGAAGAUACCAGCUGGCUGCAACUGUUUAUUAAAAACACAGCACUGUGCAAACACGAAAGUGGACGUAUACGGUGUGACGCCUGCCCGGUGCCGGAAGGUUAAUUGAUGGGGUUAUCCGUAAGGAGAAGCUCUUGAUCGAAGCCCCGGUAAACGGCGGCCGUAACUAUAACGGUCCUAAGGUAGCGAAAUUCCUUGUCGGGUAAGUUCCGACCUGCACGAAUGGCGUAAUGAUGGCCAGGCUGUCUCCACCCGAGACUCAGUGAAAUUGAACUCGCUGUGAAGAUGCAGUGUACCCGCGGCAAGACGGAAAGACCCCGUGAACCUUUACUAUAGCUUGACACUGAACAUUGAGCCUUGAUGUGUAGGAUAGGUGGGAGGCUUUGAAGCGUGGACGCCAGUCUGCGUGGAGCCAACCUUGAAAUACCACCCUUUAAUGUUUGAUGUUCUAACGUGGGCCCCUAAUCGGGGUUGCGGACAGUGUCUGGUGGGUAGUUUGACUGGGGCGGUCUCCUCCCAAAGCGUAACGGAGGAGCACGAAGGUUAGCUAAUCCUGGUCGGACAUCAGGAGGUUAGUGCAAUGGCAUAAGCUAGCUUGACUGCGAGCGUGACGGCGCGAGCAGGUGCGAAAGCAGGUCAUAGUGAUCCGGUGGUUCUGAAUGGAAGGGCCAUCGCUCAACGGAUAAAAGGUACUCCGGGGAUAACAGGCUGAUACCGCCCAAGAGUUCAUAUCGACGGCGGUGUUUGGCACCUCGAUGUCGGCUCAUCACAUCCUGGGGCUGAAGUAGGUCCCAAGGGUAUGGCUGUUCGCCAUUUAAAGUGGUACGCGAGCUGGGUUUAGAACGUCGUGAGACAGUUCGGUCUCAGAAGUGAAACGCCGUAGCGCCGAUGGUAGUGUGGGGUCUCCCCAUGUGAGACCGGAGUGGACGCAUCACUGGUGUUCGGGUUGUCAUGCCAAUGGCACUGCCCGGUAGCUAAAUGCGGAAGAGAUAAGUGCUGAAAGCAUCUAAGCACGAAACUUGCCCCGAGAUGAGUUCUCCCUGAGACUUUAAGUCUCCUGAAGGAACGUUGAAGACGACGACGUUGAUAGGCCGGGUGUGUAAGCGCAGCGAUGCGUUGAGCUAACCGGUACUAAUGAACCGUGAGGCUUAACCU